UGGGAGAAAAAAAAAAAACGAACAAGGUUUCCGUAGGUGAACCUGCGGAAGGAUCAUUAUCUAUUCCAUGAGGUGCGGUCGCGGCCCUCGGCGGGAGCAACAGCUACCGUCGGGCGGUAGAGGUAACACUUUCACGCGCCGCAUGUCUGAAUCCUUUUUUUACGAGCACCUUUCGUUCUCCUUCGGCGGGGCAACCUGCCGUUGGAACCUAUCAAAACCUUUUUUUGCAUCUAGCAUUACCUGUUCUGAUACAAACAAUCGUUACAACUUUCAACAAUGGAUCUCUUGGCUCUGGCAUCGAUGAAGAACGCAGCGAAAUGCGAUAAGUAGUGUGAAUUGCAGAAUUCAGUGAAUCAUCGAAUCUUUGAACGCACAUUGCGCCCCUUGGUAUUCCAUGGGGCAUGCCUGUUCGAGCGUCAUCUACACCCUCAAGCUCUGCUUGGUGUUGGGCGUCUGUCCCGCCUCUGCGCGCGGACUCGCCCCAAAUUCAUUGGCAGCGGUCCUUGCCUCCUCUCGCGCAGCACAUUGCGCUUCUCGAGGUGCGCGGCCCGCGUCCACGAAGCAACUAGGACACGUCAAGACCUCGGAUCAUACUUAGCUGGGGAAGC
rnacentral:rRNA from 1 species